rnacentral:rRNA from 1 species
GAUGAACGCUAGCGGCAGGCCUAAUACAUGCAAGUCGAACGGUAAAUAGUGUAGCAAUACAUUAUGAGAGUGACGUACGGGUGCGUAACACGUAUGCAACCUACCCUUUACAGGCGGAUAGCUCGGGGAAACCCGAAUUAACCCGUCGUAGUAUAAUUGAAUGGCAUCAUUUGAUUAUUAAAACUCCGGUGGUAAAGGAUGGGCAUGCGUCUGAUUAGUUAGUUGGCGGUGUAACGGACCACCAAGACGAUGAUCAGUAGGGGAACUGAGAGGUUGAUCCCCCACACUGGCACUGAGAUACGGGCCAGACUCCUACGGGAGGCAGCAGUAGGGAAUAUUGGUCAAUGGAUGCAAGUCUGAACCAGCCAUGCCGCGUGCAGGAAGAAGGCCUUAUGGGUUGUAAACUGCUUUUGCCAGGGGAUAAAACGACUCUGCGGAGUUAAUUGAA